CAGGGACAGUGCCCAGUCCCUGAGUUCAAGUCCCAGGACUGGCAAAAGAAAAAAAGGAAAACAAUGAAGGGGGAAAAACACUACCAACUAUUCACAUCUAAUAGAUGAGUUUUAAGGAAAUGCUCUCACUUGUUAAGCCAAGGAACAACAAGA